rnacentral:rRNA from 1 species
UACGGAGAGGGCUAGCGUUAUUCGGAAUCAUUGGGCGUAAAGGGCGCGUAGGCGGGUUAGUAAGUUAAAAGUGAAAUCCCAAGGCUCAACCUUGGAACUGCUUUAAAACUGCUAGUCUAGAGAUUGAAAGAGGAUAGAGGAAUUCCUAGUGUAGAGGUGAAAUUCGUAAAUAUUAGGAGGAACACCAGUGGCGAAGGCGUCUAUCUGGUUCAAAUCUGACGCUGAGGCGGCGAAGGCGUGGGGAGCAAACAGG